rfam:Hydatigera taeniaeformis genome assembly, scaffold: TTAC_scaffold0004434
AAAACGGCCCUUUUGAGGGCCACCUUACAGAGGAUUGUUGGCGGGG